rnacentral:rRNA from 1 species
AACGAACGCCGGCGGCAUGCCUAACACAUGCCAGUCGAACGAGACCUUCGGGUCUAGUGGCGCACGGGUGCGUAACGCGUGGGAACCUGCCCUUAGGUUCGGAAUAACUCCCCGAAAGGGGUGCUAAUACCGGAUAAUGUCUUCGGACCAAAGAUUUAUCGCCUUUGGAUGGGCCCGCGUUGGAUUAGCUAGUUGGUAGGGUAAAAGCCUACCAAGGCGACGAUCCAUAGCUGGUCUGAGAGGAUGAUCAGCCACACUGGGACUGAGACACGGCCCAGACUCCUACGGGAGGCAGCAGUGGGGAAUAUUGGACAAUGGGCGAAAGCCUGAUCCAGCAAUGCCGCGUGAGUGAUGAAGGCCUUAGGGUUGUAAAGCUCUUUUACCCGGGAUGAUAAUGACAGUACCGGGAGAAUAAGCGCCGGCUAACUCCGUG